rnacentral:rRNA from 1 species
GAUGAACGCUGGCGGCGUGCCUAAUACAUGCAAGUCGAGCGAACGGACGAGAAGCUUGCUUCUCUAAUGUUAGCGGCGGACGGGUGAGUAACACGUGGAUAACCUACCUAUAAGACUGGGAUAACUUCGGGAAACCGUAGCUAAUACCGGAUAAUAUUUUGAACCGCAUGGUUCAAAAGUGAAAGACGGUCUUGCUGUCACUUAUAGAUGGAUCCGCGCUGCAUUAGCUAGUUGGUAAGGUAACGGCUUACCAAGGCAACGAUGCAUAGCCGACCUGAGAGAGUGAUCGGCCACACUGGAACUGAGACACGGUCCAGACUCCUACGGGAGGCAGCAGUAGGGAAUCUUCCGCAAUGGGCGAAAGCCUGACGGAGCAACGCCGCGUGAGUGAUGAAGGUCUUCGGAUCGUAAAACUCUGUUAUUAGGGAAGAACAUAUGUGUAAGUAACUGUGCACAUCUUGACGGUACCUAAUCAGAAAGCCACGGCUAACUACGUG